UCAUUGCUGAAGAGUCCCAAACUAGGACGAAACAGCUGUCCAGUAC
rnacentral:hammerhead_ribozyme from 1 species